AUUGAACGCUGGCGGCAUGCCUUACACAUGCAAGUCGAACGGCAGCACGGGAGCAAUCCUGGUGGCGAGUGGCGAACGGGUGAGUAAAGUAUCGGAACGUGCCCAGUCGUGGGGGAUAACGUAGCGAAAGUUACGCUAAUACCGCAUACGAUCUACGGAUGAAAGCGGGGGAUCGCAAGACCUCGCGCGAUUGGAGCGGCUGAUAUCAGAUUAGGUAGUUGGUGGGGUAAAGGCUCACCAAGCCGACGAUCUGUAGCUGGUCUGAGAGGACGACCAGCCACACUGGGACUGAGACACGGCCCAGACUCCUACGGGAGGCAGCAGUGGGGAAUUUUGGACAAUGGGCGAAAGCCUGAUCCAGCCAUGCCGCGUGCAGGAUGAAGGCCUUCGGGUUGUAAACUGCUUUUGUACGGAACGAAAAGGUUUGGCCUAAUAAGCUGAGCUCAUGACGGUACCGUAAGAAUAAGCACCGGCUAACUACGUGCCAGCCGCCGCAGUAA
rnacentral:rRNA from 1 species